rnacentral:lncRNA from 1 species
UGGAAACCAGGCUGAUGUGGAAAGUGGAAAGAGUUUGUGUCCAGGCGGCAGCAAGAAGGCUCCAGGAACAACGCAGAGGCUUCACUCUGGAUGACAAACGAGGAGGGGAGAGGCCUGCCCUGCCUGGACUCCGGGCCCCAGCCAUGACCGUGUCAGCUAGACGACAUCUGGAGCAAGUCCCCACACCCCGUGUUACUCCUCAGUGGGCUUCGUGCCUAGACCUGGGAAUCCUGACUCUGCACCACCUUCUCCUGCAGCGCUGCCCUCUGGUCCCACUCAGCCUCAUCUGUGCCGGCUGGUCCUACACUUUGCUCACUCGGGAUUUUACACUUGGGCAAGUCUGCCCAGGUCUGGGGCUUAAGCAGAUAAAGGAGGAUGCAGAGAACAGAGAGCAGCUGUCUUGGGGAAAAGGGGAAGAGGAGAGGUAGGGUGGAAAUACCUGGCAAGGGCAGAAGACGCUGAAGGCUCACUCCCUGAACCCCAGAAGAACACUAGGCAGGCAGCUGUGCCCUUCUGCCGGGGAGGCCAGAGGGAGGGGA